rfam:Harpegnathos saltator strain R22 G/1 HarSal_1.0_2.contig3138, whole genome shotgun sequence.
CGUCAGGUAGCUCAGUAGUCUAGAGCAGUCGCCCGGCAAGCGAAAGGCACGGGUUCUCGAUUCCCGGUCUAGCGA